rnacentral:rRNA from 1 species
UACAGAGGUCUCAAGCGUUGUUCGGAUUCAUUGGGCGUAAAGGGUGCGUAGGCGGCGCGGUAAGUCGGGUGUGAAAUCUUGGAGCUUAACUCCGAAACUGCAUUCGAUACUGCCGUGCUUGAGGACUGGAGAGGAGACUGGAAUUUACGGUGUAGCGGUGAAAUGCGUAGAUAUCGUAAGGAAGACCAGUGGCGAAGGCGGGUCUCGUGGACAGUUCCUGACGCUGAGGCACGAAGGCCAGGGAGCAAACGGG